GCAACUUCGAACACUGCAAGACAUUAUGGGCUUGUUUGGUUUAUCUAUUUUGGAUAUGGAAUGAGAAUCAGUUUGAUCAAAUCCGAUUAAUUUUGUUUGGUUCGCAGGAAUCGGUUUGAGAUUCCUAUUCUGGACUGGAAUGGGAAUGGCCCAUCAGCCUUCAACUUGAUUCCGGUCUCCUAACCCGGAUUGAGACUUCAUUCCCGAAGACCACUAGUUCCCGAAGCUCAUGAGACCAUCUCAUCCUUCUCUCUCUGUAUACGAUCUCUCAGCCCUCUCUCAUCAAAAAAAAAAAAAAAAAAAACCUAUCCUAUAAUUUUUUAUAAUUUUUUUCUUACAUAAAAAUUUUUAAAAAUAAAUUUGAUAUUUUUUUUUUGGAAAACUUAUUAGAGAAUAGUAUUAUAUUUUUCAUAAAUUUUAAAUAAUAUAAAAUUAUAUUUGAGAGUUAAAUUAGUAUUAUGGUAUACUAUAAUUUUUUAGUUUAUAUGAAUCAAAUAAUGAAAUGAGAAUAACUCAUUCCAAUUUCCAAUCCACGAAUGAACGAAACGUCUUGGGCGAGUGGGCCAAUCCAAUUACCAUUCCAAUUCAUUCACAUUCUAUUAUCCAUUUCAAUUCCACCAUUGAACCAAACAAGCCUAUCAUAUGGACCAGAUUCGUCACAUCAUACGCCAACAGGAAUGUCAACGGAUUGGAUUCGGGAUCAAUUUUUAAAAAUUCAAAUUCGAACCUAAUAGCCAAAUCUGAGUGCAAAUCAGAAUCCGAUGAAUUUUAAAAAUUCACAUCUAAUCAGAACAGGAAUUCAAAACAAUCACUCCUCCUUAUCAUAUUUUAAAAUAGAUUAUAUUAAAAUAAAAAAUUUUAAAAUAUAAAUUAAAAUAUAUUAUGGAGCAUUUAUAUAUAUUAUAUAAUAAUAUAAAAACU
rnacentral:lncRNA from 1 species